rnacentral:misc_RNA from 1 species
CAUCUAACUUUAGUUUAUAGCAGUUUCAUGCAAUUCCAAGGAGUGAGCAUUUGACUGCAAGUAACUGCAGGUAACCGUAGAACGUGGCAGAAUAUAUUCCAGAGUCUUCCAAGAGCUUUCCAGAUACCUGCACGACAAUUUAUGGCAGUUCUAAGUAGUUUCGAGAAGUAGGUAGACAACUACAGGUAAUCACAGAACGUGGCAGAGUGUGUUCCAGAAUCUUUACUAGUCUUUCAGCCUACAGGCAGAACUAUAAAUGUCAAAUACUUUGCAACGUGAAAAACCCCAACCACUCAAACAACAACUUAACUAGACUCUAACAGUCUUUUAUCUUUAUUUUAUCAGUCAUAUAUUUUUCCAAAGCUCUUGCAUUUAAUUUCCAGCAUUGUACUCUUUUUUCAAUUAAUCAAAGCGUCCUUUUGAUUUCCAAA